AGAGUUUGAUCCUGGCUCAGAACGAACGCUGGCGGCAGGCUUAACACAUGCAAGUCGAGCGCCCCGCAAGGGGAGCGGCAGACGGGUGAGUAACGCGUGGGAACGUACCUUUUGCUACGGAAUAACUCAGGGAAACUUGUGCUAAUACCGUAUGUGCCCUUCGGGGGAAAGAUUUAUCGGCAAAGGAUCGGCCCGCGUUGGAUUAACUAGUUGGUGAGGUAAAGGCUCACCAAGGCGACGAUCCAUAGCUGGUCUGAGAGGAUGAUCAGCCACACUGGGACUGAGACACGGCCCAGACUCCUACGGGAGGCAGCAGUGGGGAAUAUUGGACAAUGGGCGCAAGCCUGAUCCAGCCAUGCCGCGUGAGUGAUGAAGGCCCUAGGGUUGUAAAGCUCUUUCACCGGUGAAGAUAAUGACGGUAACCGGAGAAGAAGCCCCGGCUAACUUCGUGCCAGCAGCCGCGGUAAUACGAAGGGGGCUAGCGUUGUUCGGAUUUACUGGGCGUAAAGCGCACGUAGGUGGACUUUUAAGCCAGGGGUGAAAUCCCGGGGCUCAACCCCGGAACUGCCUUUGAUACUGGAAGUCUUGAGUAUGGUAGAGGUGAGUGGAAUUCCGAGUGUAGAGGUGAAAUUCGUAGAUAUUCGGAGGAACACCAGUGGCGAAGGCGGCUCAC
rnacentral:rRNA from 1 species